rnacentral:lncRNA from 1 species
GAACUCCUUGUAGUUCAUUUUUUAAUAUUUCAGUUUUCUUCAUGGUAUCCUUCUCUAAAAAUUAUUUUUUAAAAGCACCGUUGGGCAAUCUUUUAUUGUUAUUUGUUAUCCGUGCCUAAGCUUUAGGAAGAUUCAUAUUUUCAGUCUAGUUCCCAAUAUAUUCCCCCUUUUUAAUCAUUAUAGUCUAUCCAAACUGACUCACUUCACAUAUCUCUUUAUAAAGUAUUCACAUAUAUUGUGGGAUAAAACUUACGAAAUAAAAAAAAUACUCAUUUCUUGGUUAAUUAUAUUUACUGCUCCUUAGUCCAGGGAACCUCAAACUCUUGGAGAAUCCCUAAGAAGCAUGGAAUAUCCCUAGGGGAAGGGAAUAUUUGUCUCCCGAAUCAUAAAGGUAAUUCUAAACCUAGACUAACACAAAUAGGUCUACUUCUAGCAAAAAUGUAGGGAAAGGACCCUAGGGAAUUUAUGAUUAAAAUGUUUAAAAACAACUCAAUGAAUACAUAUAUUUAUUUACCUUCUUCUAACUUUGGUUCAUGUGCUGAAGUCUUAAAUUUUCUUACUUUUUGAAGUCAAAAUAUGAAAAAAGUAUUAAUAAAGAUAAAAUAUUAAGUAUUAUUGAUAUUAUACAUGAAUUUGCGCAAGAAAUACAAGAGACAAAAUUUUGUUUAUAACAUAAAGGUUGAAGUUAGUCACUUUGGAUCCAAAUCAUCGUAGAUAUUCACAUAGUAUGAUAUCUGAUCCCCAUAUUUCUGUACACAUAUACUGAUAGAGAUAUCUCUUCCAUAAAAACCUCAGUUUGCUUAAUUAUAAAGAAAUCGUAGAUAUAUUUUGUAGUUACUUGCAUAUCAUUCGGUCAAUCCCUUGUAUUAUGUAAAUUAGGAAAACUCGUGCCCUAUUAAACUUGGAGUCAGAAAGGCCACUUUAAUUUAUGAGGGAUAAGUUUGGUGUUUUUUAUCUUCCUCUCAUUAAAGUCCUAUAUUUAGUAUCCUACACUACUAUAAGAAAAUAAAUUUGCUAUGUAGUAGAAAAAUUUACCAUCUUGAAUCCCAUAUGACGACGAUGAAGUAGAUAUUUAUCUGGCUCGUGAUGUGGGGAAGAAAUAAGGACUCUUAGCGACUUGUUCUUGUUCAUAAAUAUACUUUUUUACUUUUUACAAGUCACAAACAUGUAAUUAAUGGCAUUAUCUGAAGUCAUAACAUUAAUAAACAAUAACCUUUGAGACACUUUGAGUAACUAAAUGAAAAAUUUGAGCUUCAGAGUUUUUCUGAAUAGUGACAAUUAUGUAGUAUAGUCAUUUAUGACUCAUGAGUAGACUUAGGAUUUUGGAGUGAUUGGAGCAAAAAUAGAGUUCUAAAAUUUUGAAAAAUGAGCAACCAAAAUGCUAAAUUAAGCUUUUUGAAAUUAAAGAAAAGUACAGUUUUACAAGGAUAAUUUAAAAUAAUCGGUGUUGUUUCAUAUUUAUGAUAAUUUAUAUAUAAAUUUUGCUAUAUUAUAACAACAAAUCAAGAUUUUAGAAAGAUUUUCUUUUGUAAUUUUUUUCUUUCAUUCCUAUUUGUAGUUUUAUACAAACUAAAAUACCUUUCAACGCCCACAUGAGUAUUUGGAGCAAAUUUGAAGUUGGCGAUAUCUUCAGGAGUCAUGUUAGACGAGGGUAUCUCAUUAUAAUACUGAUAUACUGAUUAUAAGUAUAACCUUUUUCAUAAAUGAAAGAUCAGGAUUUCUGUGAAUGACAGAGGUUUUUUUCUUCAAUUAUUUCUCUUUUUUCCCGAGGAAUUUUUUUAAUAUUUUUUUCGGCUUCAGAAAGCUUAGAAUAGAAGUUCAGAAUAUCAUAAAUGAACAUUCCUUCUAUUUCACAUUUGAAAAUAGCUUUUGAUGAGAAACUUUUUUUUAUUUCGUAAUAGUUUACAGAUUAUCUUGGAAACAAUAUGUCUUACAUCAAAGACCUGGAUCUCCAAGAACAUACUGGCAAUUCUCAAUGGCAAGGGCAUCUUUUUAAUUAAAUUCGCAUACAAUUUUCUUUAUCUCUUCAAAAUAGAUUGGGUAGUACAUAUCAGUCUUGAUCCAUGAUCCCUAACGGGUUACAACAUGAUUUACAAACAGCUUUUGAGUCUGUAGUGAGCACAAAAGGAGUAUCUAUGUUUCCAUUGAAAUCACUAAUCCAUCUAAUUCGUAUUCCGAAGCUACAUUAAUUUGAAAUUUUGUUACAAUCACUAUUUAUAUAACUUUUCCAGGAUUCAUGUUAGAUAACACAACCAAUCAGAGUUAGGAAAAAUUUGUAGCAAAAGUAUUUCUCCUUUGUUACAAGAUUUAAGAGGGAAUAUUCAACAAUCAAUUUUGGACUAAAUUUUUUCUUCUUCUUUUUGGCUGUUAUAUGAGGCUUGUUUCCUCACAUAUUCAAUCAUGUAAUCAUAAGCCUGAUUGCAUCAUAUACUUAAUUUUCCCUCCAAAAGCUAGUGGAUUGUUUCUAUUGUUUUCCUGCUUAAUGAAGGAAGAGUUUUGCAUGUGGAUUUUCUCUCAAAAGAUAUCAUCAAAGGUGUUGUGGGAUCGAACUAAUUUCCAAAUUUUCUCUAUUUAUUUCAUACCGGUCUGGAAAAAUGAGCAAUUUUCAAUCAAAAAACGCAGAAUGAGCAAUUUUUCGCCAAAAGGUCAAAAUGAACAUUUUUUUUGAGCGAUCGCUCACAAAUCAUCAGUCUACUCAUGAGUCAUGCACACUGAUGGAAAUCUAGUGUAGAAUGGGCAUGAUAAAAAAAGAAACUACAAAACCAACAUGGUGACCCUGAAAAUAUGAAGAAUGUUUUAUAGGAGAUCAGCUACAAUCAGCUGUGACAUGUAGGGAGAUUUAGAAGGAAAUAAACAAGGAUAUUGACAAUAAUUAUUCCGAUGUGGAUCCCCUAUUCUACUCUGAGUCCAACAAGGAACUUACAAUUAUAACUUUGCAACAAAUCUUCGAGGUUACUCUCCAUCUUUUAUGCGAACACAACUAUGGCCUGGAAUAUUUUAUUCUCAGCAGAUUCUGAAAGCCAGAUGUCACAGCUUUUGAGUUUGGGGUGUCACUUUGAUAGUAUAUUUUUUUGUAAAACAAAGUUGCUCCGGCUCACUGUGGCAGGAGUUGUUGUAGGAAAUUAGCAAUACAAGUCAAGGAAGUGACCCCUGCAUGAAGAAUCCGAUAGGCAAUGUUUCUUGUGAAUCUGUAUAAAGCCCCCACAUUUUUGUGAUCGAGAGAGACCUCUGAUAUCUAUGGUGGAGUGUAUCAUUACCAAUAUGUUUGAUAUAAGUCUGAAGGCCUGAAAUUUGAUCAUUGCUCUUAUAAUAAGAGGAGAAAAUUACUUAAAAGUGGAGGCGAUAAUAUCAAAGACAAUAAUUUAUGAUUGCAGAUCAAAAAUUACUCAUCUUUCUGUAGGGUUGAACACAACAAUCGUGAGAUAAAUGGACUCAAUAGACUUUUAAACUAUAUUGCAAUUCAUAUUUUUAUUGUAUAAAGGGGACUUCUCCCACAUUUUAACAACUUUUAAAUCCUUCAUGUGUUUUUAAAUAACUAGAGAAAACUCCAUUCUUUAUUAAUUUAUUUCUUCUAACUUUAAACAACUGUGAGGCCAUUACAAGAAAUCGACUCCUAGAAAAUAUAUGAAAAGGAGAGAAACGGGUUUUUCUAUUUCUAACUAUUUUUGUUUCAUAAGAAAAAAAAAGGCUAAUAUUGUAACACAAAAUUUCAGCACUUUUAGACAGAAAUUCUUAAAACUGCAAAGAAACCCGUAUUGCUUAGAAUCUUAAGUUUAAUUUGAAUACAUUUUUUAAAAGUAUAUUGCUUCAAACAAGGCGUAAUGGUCUCUUAAAGAUAGCGCAACAUUAAAUUAGAUAACAAGGACGAAUAAAAAUUUAUGUUGGUAGGAUUAGUUUAUUAACCAGCUCAUCUGAAAUAAAGUUAUUCUCUAU